rnacentral:rRNA from 1 species
UACGUAGGGCGCAAGCGUUGUCCGGAUUUAUUGGGCGUAAAGAGCGCGCAGGCGGUUCGUUAAGUCCGAGGGGAAAUCUCCCGGCUCAACUGGGAUAGGUCUUCGGAUACUGGCGGACUUGAGGAGAGCAGAGGUGAGUGGAAUUCUCGGUGUAGUGGUGAAAUGCGUAGAUAUCGAGAGGAACACCAGUGGCGAAGGCGGCUCACUGGGCUCCACCUGACGCUGAGGCGCGAAAGCGUGGGGAGCGAACCGG